rnacentral:sRNA from 1 species
UGUCACGACUUGGUGGAGUGUCACGGC